AACGAACGCUGGCGGCAGGCUUAACACAUGCAAGUCGAACGCGUGUAGCAAUACACGAUUGGCGCACGGGUGAGUAACGCGUGGAUAUCUGCCUUUUGGUUCGGAAUAACCCCGGGAAACUGGGGCUAAUACCGGAUGGUUCCUUCGGGAUAAAGAUUUAUCGCCAAAAGAUGAGUCCGCGUACGAUUAGCUAGUUGGUGAGGUAAUGGCUCACCAAGGCGAGGAUCGUUAGCUGGUCUGAGAGGACGAUCAGCCACACUGGGACUGAGACACGGCCCAGCCUCCUCCGGGAGGCAGCAGUGGGGAAUAUUGGACAAUGGGGGCAAUCCUGAUCCAGCCAGGCCGCGUGAGUGAUGAAGGCCUUCGGGUUGUAAAGCUCUUUUGGCGGGGACGAUGAUGACGGUACCCGCAGAAUAAGCCCCGGCUAACUUCGUGCCAGCCGCCGCCGUAACAC
rnacentral:rRNA from 1 species